CAUCUGGGUCAUAAUCACACGCUGUUUUCCCUGUAYUURCAGAAUCCACAGUGUGAUCUGCUGGCUGUGUUYGGUGGACGGCGCGGCUCGCUGCAGGUGUAGGGGGGAAGCAUGCAGGACCUUUCCACGAGGAAGCCGCUCUGCAGKACCCUCAGCUGACAGCAUGCUGCAAACCAAUGAGAGGGGUGUGAAAUA
rnacentral:lncRNA from 1 species